rnacentral:rRNA from 1 species
GACGAACGCUGGCGGCGUGCCUAAUACAUGCAAGUAGAACGCUGAAGGAGUAGCUUGCUCUUCUGGAUGAGUUGCGAACGGUUGAGUAACGCGUAGGUAACCUGCCUGGUAGCGGGGGAUAACUAUGGGAAACGAUAGCUAAUACCGCAUAACAGUAGAUGUUGCAUGAUAUUUGCUUAAAAGGUGCAAUUGCACCACUACCAGAUGGAACUGCGUUGUAUUAGCUAGUUGGUGGGGUAACGGCUCACCAAGGCGACGAUACAUAGCCGACCUGAGAGGGUGAUCGGCCACACUGGGACUGAGACACGGCCCAGACUCCUACGGGAGGCAGCAGUAGGGAAUCUUCGGCAAUGGACGGAAGUCUGACCGAGCAACGCCGCGUGAGUGAAGAAGGUUUUCGGAUCGUAAAGCUCUGUUGUAAGAGAAGAACGAGUGUGAGAGUGGAAAGUUCACACUGUGACGGUAUCUUACCAGAAAGGGACGGCUAACUACGUG